GGGUUGGCCGAGUGGUUAUGGCGUUGGACUUAAGUUCCAAUGGACAAGUGACCGCGUGGGUUCGAACCCCCAACAACCCA
rnacentral:tRNA from 1 species